UCCGGCCUCCUCCUCAAGGUGACCAUUUUACUGCCCAUUUUAACUGCUAUGGGUCGGUUCCGGAGCUCCGUGUUAGAAACGGGGUGACGGAACCGGGAAGGUCCGAGUAGAGGCAUAGUCCCCAUUGCACAGAGGCGGGUCUGAGGCUCGGCGACGCCGCCCGUGGGCCCCGCACCAGGCCCGGGAGAGGGUCCGCCGUGCCCUGGUCCCACUUCUCCCGCGGCUCCCGGCGCCGCUCCGCUCACAGAGUCCGAUGGCGGCGGCGGCGGCGGCGCUUAGGCACCAGCCUCAGAGUCCGAAGGCUGCAGAAGUACUUAUGGAAACAAAACAGGCUCCGGACGCGCAGGCCCAGCGGCCAUGGCU